CAUGCCUAAUACAUGCAAGUCGAACGAAGACUCUAGGAAGCUUGCUUCCAAAGAGACUUAGUGGCGAACGGGUGAGUAACACGUAGGUAACCUGCCCAUGUGUCUGGGAUAACUGCUGGAAACGGUAGCUAAAACCGGAUAGGUAUACGGAGCGCAUGCUCUGUAUAUUAAAGCGCCCUUCAAGGCGUGAACAUGGAUGGACCUGCGGCGCAUUAGCUAGUUGGUGAGGUAACGGCCCACCAAGGCGAUGAUGCGUAGCCGGCCUGAGAGGGUAAACGGCCACAUUGGGACUGAGACACGGCCCAAACUCCUACGGGAGGCAGCAGUAGGGAAUUUUCGUCAAUGGGGGAAACCCUGAACGAGCAAUGCCGCGUGAGUGAAGAAGGUCUUCGGAUCGUAAAGCUCUGUUGUAAGUGAAGAACGGCUCAUAGAGGAAAUGCUAUGGGAGUGACGGUAGCUUACCAGAAAGCCACGGCUAACUACGUGCCAGCAGCCGCGGUAAUACGUAGGUGGCAAGCGUUAUCCGGAAUCAUUGGGCGUAAAGGGUGCGUAGGUGGCGUACUAAGUCUGUAGUAAAAGGCAAUGGCUCAACCAUUGUAAGCUAUGGAAACUGGUAUGCUAGAGUGCAGAAGAGGGCGAUGGAAUUCCAUGUGUAGCGGUAAAAUGCGUAGAUAUAUGGAGGAACACCAGUGGCGAAGGCGGUCGCCUGGUCUGUAACUGACACUGAGGCACGAAAGCGUGGGGAGCAAAUAGGAUUAGAUACCCUAGUAGUCCACGCCGUAAACGAUGAGAACUAAGUGUUGGAGGAAUUCAGUGCUGCAGUUAACGCAAUAAGUUCUCCGCCUGGGGAGUAUGCACGCAAGUGUGAAACUCAAAGGAAUUGACGGGGGCCCGCACAAGCGGUGGAGUAUGUGGUUUAAUUCGAAGCAACGCGAAGAACCUUACCAGGGCUUGACAUCCCACUAACGAGGCAGAGAUGCGUUAGGUGCCCUUCGGGGAAAGUGGAGACAGGUGGUGCAUGGUUGUCGUCAGCUCGUGUCGUGAGAUGUUGGGU
rnacentral:rRNA from 1 species